rnacentral:misc_RNA from 1 species
CAGAAUAAUUUUCCAUUUAUGAUUCUCUCAAUAGUUUGGCAUAGAACUGAUAGCUUGCGACAUGAGCAGUAAAAGGAGUUUCAAAAUCCUAAAGAUGCGAGGUGAAAUUAUUAUAAUCUAACAAGAGAGUACAAAGAACCGCACUUCCUGAACGAAUUGCAUAAUAUAAACGAAUUAGCAUUUCCAUCAUCGUACCCAAAUAACUACACAACUAAGAUAGCAAGAUGCCAUCACGUGGGACUUCAUUUCAAGCUGUUGGAAUCUAACACAACUUAUUUUUCCUACGGACUAACGAAAAGGAAAUACUACUUGAUGCAUGUAGAGCUUCGCCCCAGCACUUUCAAUGGAAAUUACACAAAAGGCACAAUUUUUCUUUUCAAUGCUGUAAAUACUGAGGAGG